rnacentral:misc_RNA from 1 species
GAUGAAGAACGUAGCGAAAUGCGAUAAGUAAUGUGAAUUGCAGAAUUCAGUGAAUCAUCGAAUCUUUGAACGCACAUUGCGCCCGCCAGUAUUCUGGCGGGCAUGCCUGUUCGAGCGUCAUUUCAACCAUCAAGCCCCCGGCUUGUGUUGGGGACCUGCGGCUGCCGCAGGCCCUGAAAACCAGUGGCGGGCUCGCUAGUCACUCCGAGCGUAGUAAUACAUCUCGCUCAGGGCGUGCUGCGGGUUCCGGCCGUUAAAAAAGCCUUAUUUACCCAAGGUUGACCUCGGAUCAGGUAGGAAGACCCGCUGAACUUAAGCAUAUCAAAAGCGGAGGA